UGUUCAUAUCAGUUCAUCAUUAAUCUCGAAUUUGCAUAAUGGUUUUUAAUUCGUAUGUAUUGGUGUGAACUUAAGUGAAUAAUAAUUAUUGGUAGUUGAUUCAUAGAGCAUAUUGGUAGUGGAGAUAUUGCUUACUGUUUGAAAUUCGAUUUUAUAUGCUCAACCAGAUUAUAUGUUUUGUAUGUUAUCUGAGAAAUCUCUGCUUCUGUUUUGGUGUCAAGUUUCAUAUCUCUUUAGAAAGCCUGAGGUUUCAGAUAUAGUAAUUUUCAAGGCAUCUCCAAUGUUGCAGAAUUGUGGCCAAGGCUGCAGAUUAUGUUCAGGUACAUGAUGAGAAAUUGUUGGUGAAUGGUGAAAUUCAAAAUGAAAAUUACAUAUUGGAGCCUUUUACCUAUGAAAUGGAACCAAUUAAGGCUAUAUCUUUGUGAUGGGGGACAACUGCAACAACAAUUUUGACUCUCAUGACUGGCUGUUCACUACAGUGCACAAAACAAGUCUGUUUCAGAAUUUAAAAGCACAUUACUAAUACAACUCAGAGGUCAAUCUCCACAUCACAUUGAUUGACAACUUCCACAUUGCAAAGUAUUAAUUGUGUUAGCUACAAAACUACAUUCCUUUGCUUAAGCAAUUCUGCAAAACAAGCACUAUGGAGAAACUGGAAGUUAAUACAAAAACCAGAAUUGAAGGACGGUUGAGAUAUCUCAAAAGCCAGAAAGAGAAACUCAAAUCUUGCAUUAUAUAUGAUUGAUCUUAAGUGCUUUGUAAACUCGAAACAAUUUUAGU